GAGAGUAAAUGUAUCCGGUAAAGACGAGCUUCUACAUGAAUGCCAGGUUCCCGAUCCACCCCUAGGGGUUGAUUUGUCUGUCCUUAAAGAAGGGAACAGAUGCAAACGGAGUGACAACAUUUCCUGUCACACCCCGCCCUGUCCCCGACCCUGCAGGAGACAAUGGCUGCAGCCCCACGUGUCUGCAGUGAACACCCACAACUCUCCCUGGGAAAUUCACUCCCCACUUAGCAGAAGAAGAUGCUCCUCUGGCUGCACGUUGCUUUCCUGGCAGCACUUCCCCAAGGGGCCAAUUCGCAGGUUCAGCUGGUGGAGUCUGGGGGAGGCGUGAAAAUGGCAGGAGAGUCUAUCAGCAUCGCCUGUAAAGCCUCCGGGUUCACUUUUGGUGACUACUGGAUGCACUGGUACCGACAGUCUCCCGGGAAGGGACCCGAGUGGGUGUCCGGCAUUAGCUAUUGGGCCGGAACCGACAAGAGAUACGCUGAGUCGGUGAAAGGGCGAUUCACCAUCUCCAGAGACAACCCCAACAACCUGCUCCAUUUGCAAAUGACCGGCCUGAGACCCGAGGACGCGGCGGUGUAUCGCUGUCAGAGAGACACAGUGACGGGCAGGGAAUCUAACCACGCACAAAAACAUCCCUUUGCAGUCACAGCCCGCCGCGGGGCACAGCCCAGGGGAAGAGUCAGACACACAGAGAACUGAACCAAGGAGAAAAUGGCCCCAGCGUCGCGAUCAGCGCGUGAAGGACACGGCUUUUGUGGGGCUGCAGAGACAGGUCAGGGCUGGGGGAGGAAACACUGGAGGGUAGCAGGCCCCGUUCUCUUUGCUGCACACCUGCCCAUCUGGGCGAGCAGCGAGCUUC